UACGUAGGGACCAAGCGUUGUUCGGAUUUACUGGGCGUAAAGGGCGCGUAGGCGGCAAUUCAAGUCAGUUGUGAAAUCUCCGAGCUUAACUCGGAACGGUCAACUGAUACUGUUUUGCUAGAGUACAGAAGGGGCAAUCGGAAUUCUUGGUGUAGCGGUGAAAUGCGUAGAUAUCAAGAGGAACACCUGCGGCGAAGGCGGGUUGCUGGGCUGACACUGACGCUGAAGUGCGAAAGCCAGGGGAGCGAACGGG
rnacentral:rRNA from 1 species